ACGGCGAGUGAAGCGGCAACAGCUCAAAUUUGAAAUCUGGCGCAAGCCCGAGUUGUAAUUUGCAGAGGAUGUUUCGGGUGAAGCCACGGUCCAAGUCCCUUGGAACAGGACGUCAUAGAGGGUGAGAACCCCGUACCUGGCCGUCGGUGCCCCCCGCUGUGAAACUCCUUCGACGAGUCGAGUUGUUUGGGAAUGCAGCUCUAAAUUGGUGGUAAAUUCCAUCUAAAGCUAAAUACCGGCCAGAGACCGAUAGCGCACAAGUAGAGUGAUCGAAAGAUGAAAAGCACUUUGAAAAGAGAGUUAAAAAGUACGUGAAAUUGUUGAAAGGGAAGCGCUUGCGGCCAGACUUGCCCGCGGUUGCUCAGCCCGCCUUUUGGCGGGUGCACUCUUCCGCGGUCAGGCCAGCAUCGGUUUGGGCGGCCGGAUAAAGGCGUCGGGAACGUGGCCUCCCCUCGGGGAGGUGUUAUAGCCCGGCGCGCAAUGCGACCAGCCCGGACCGAGGUUCGCGCUUUGCUAGGAUGCUGGCGUAAUGGCCGUAAGCGGCCCGUCUUGAAACACGGACCAAGGAGUCUAACAUCUAUGCGAGUGUUUGGGUGUCAAACCCGUGCGCGUAAUGAAAGUGAACGGAGGUGGGAACCGCAAGGUGCACCAUCGACCGAUCCUGAUGUCUUCGGAAGGAUUUGAGUAAGAGCAUAGCUGUUGGGACCCGAAAGAUGGUGAACUAUGCGUGAAUAGGGUGAAGCCAGAGGAAACUCUGGUGGAGGCUCGCAGCGGUUCUGA
rnacentral:rRNA from 1 species